rnacentral:rRNA from 1 species
GAAGACCUGUCCUUAGUACGAGAGGACCGGGAUGGACGUACCUCUGGUGUACCAGUUGUCCUGCCAAGGGCAUGGCUGGGUAGCUAUGUACGGAAUGGAUAAGCGCUGAAAGCAUCUAAGCGCGAAGUCAACUUCAAGAUAAGAUUUCCCACCGCAAGGGUAAGACCCCAGAAAGACUAUCUGGUUGAUAGGUCGAAGGUGUAAGUGCAGCAAUGUAUUUAGCUUAUCGAUACUAAUAGGUCGAGGACUUGACCAAU